rnacentral:rRNA from 1 species
AUUGAACGCUGGCGGCAGGCUUAACACAUGCAAGUCGAGCGGGCGAGGUUGCUUCGGUAACUGAGCUAGCGGCGGACGGGUGAGUAAUGCUUAGGAAUCUGCCUAUUAGUGGGGGACAACAUUCCGAAAGGAAUGCUAAUACCGCAUACGCCCUACGGGGGAAAGCAGGGGAUCUUCGGACCUUGCGCUACUAGAUGAGCCUAAGUCAGAUUAGCUAGUUGGUGGGGUAAAGGCCUACCAAGGCGACGAUCUGUAGCGGGUCUGAGAGGAUGAUCCGCCACACUGGGACUGAGACACGGCCCUGACUCCUACGGGAGGCAGCAGUGGGGAAUAUUGGACAAUGGGCGGAAGCCUGAUCCAGCAACGCCGCGUGAGGGAUGACGGCCUUCGGAUUGUAAAGCACUUUAAGUUGGGAGGAAGGGUUGUAAGCUAAUAUCUUGCAGCUUUGACGUUACCAACAGAAUAAGCACCGGCUAACUCUGUGCCAGCAGCCGCCGUAAAAC